UUUCUCUGCUUUUCUUUUAUCCCUUUCUUUCUUCUUUAUUCCCAUGUUUUUGAUCACAUACUGUGUGUCAGCCUCUGUUAAGCUCAUCUGUGCAGAGUCUAUACUCACUGCCUGUCCUCCUCUCAUAGUCACUUGUCAAUUCAUUUUCAUUAGCCUUCUCCCUCCACCCUCCUUUCCUGAGUCUGUUCCCACUGAGGUCAACCCAGUGUUCAUAUUACUGAACCCAGUGGCCAUCUUUCUGUUUCUUCUUUUACCAGACCUCUUCACUGAACUAGAUAAUGUUAAUUAGUCCUGGCUGGAGCGCAAGUCUCCUUUGACAUCUAUUUGCACUGUUCCUCUGCUUGAACCACUCUGUCUAUUCCUUCUCUGUCCCUUAAAUUUUUGGCUUCUUGUGGGUUGGGUUUUUGGUAUUCUUCUUUGUCUAGCACCACCCUUGCUUGCCAUCGUGCCCUCAUUCAGGCCUGGGCUUUGACUUGAAUAGCUUCUGAAUCUCUAUGCUCUGCCUGUAUUGGAUAGCUGGCAGGCUAUGGGCAUGGGCUGCUAGGUCCCAGACAACUCACACUCUCAUCUGAUAAGUGGGUUUUAAUGUGACCCUUGUUGUACCUCCUUAUUUCUAUUUCAGUCUCACUUACUGCUUCCUCUUUAUCUGUUUUCAAGUCUUCCUACUAGAUAUUUCCUUAAGAAGGCAGAGAAACCGUGCUCUCUUAGUAAUUGCACAAUUGAAAUUAUUCCUCUUGAAUAUUUGAUGAUGACAUAUUUUGACUUGAUAUAGCUUUUUCAAUCUUACAGGAAUUCUAAAGCUGGAGGAAUGUUUAAACUCCUUCCAGCUGCCAGUUUCACGUGAGAAGAGUUGCUUGAUUUUAAGGGCUCU
rnacentral:lncRNA from 1 species